rnacentral:lncRNA from 1 species
AUGAGGGGGACCGGGGGCCCCGCCCCACCCCGCCCCACCCCGGGAUUCACAUUAGCCAGAAACAAUGGAAAUAAAUUAAGUGACGUUGGGGAGGGGGAGGAGGGAGGGUGGGGGGCGGCGGACACGCCACAGUCAGUGCAUGGGGAGGAAACCCUCCCCGCCAACCUUCCCCCAGCCCCGGGGAGGCCGCCCACCUCGUCUCCCCAGAAUGGAGGAGGGGCGCAGAUGGGGAAGGUCGGGUCCGUCCCCCCGCCCCGCCCCUCGCCGCCGCCGCCGCUCCGGGGGGUGUGCUUCGUGGGCGGUUUGGGGGGGCAGAGCCGCGGAGGAGUCGGGCGGUUGGAGGGGCCUGGGGGAGGGGGCGUGGGGAAGGGCGGUCCCCCCGCUCCCCGGCGCGCCCCGGCCCCCGGCCCGCCCCGUCCCCCGCCGCGGGGCUCACUCCACCCGCACCAGCAGCCCGUAGAGCAGCGUGGCGCCGGCCUCCUUGGUGACCCACUCCAGCUCGGCCAGGCUGAAGCGCGGGUCGGGAGGGGGCUCGGCCGGGCCGGGCGGGGGGCCGGCCGUGUAGGAGCCGGGCCGCACGCACACCUGGAAGGCCACCUGGGCCGUGUGAGGCCUCAGGGACUUUGGGUCCCGGAACCUGCGGGGAGAGACAAGGGGGAGGGGGAUGUGGGAUGGGGUGUGGAUCGCGGGGGUGGUCGCUUAACAUCUCCGGGCCUCGGUCUCCCGUGUGGAGCCACAGGGCCAGCGGCCCCCUCCCCGGGCUCUCCGCCACCCCGGGCCCGCCUCCUACCCCCCGGGACUCCCACCGCCCCGGGCCCACAUCCCGCCCCUCUCCGGGCUCCGCUCACCGUCCUGUGCCCACAGACCCCCGCCGCCCCCGCGACCGCUCCCGGCCCCACGGCACUUAUGUCCGCAUCUGUCAUUUAUCGAUUUCUUUUCGUGUCUGUCAGCCCCUCUAGACUGUCAGCUCCCUGUGGGAGGGAAAUGGGUCUGUUUAUCGUCGUAUUGUCCUCUCCCAAGCGCUCGAUACAGUGCUCCGCACACAGGAAGCGCCGAAUAAAUACGAUGGAAUGA